GAUGAACGCUGGCGGCGUGCUUAACACAUGCAAGUCGAACGAUGAAGCCCAGCUUGCCGGGUGGAUUAGUGGCGAACGGGUGAGUAACACGUGAGUAACCUGCCCUUAACUCUGGGAUAAGCCUGGGAAACUGGGUCUAAUACCGGAUAGGAGCGUCCACCGCAUGGUGGGUGUUGGAAAGAUUUAUCGGUUUUGGAUGGACUCGCGGCCUAUCAGCUUGUUGGUGAGGUAAUGGCUCACCAAGGCGACGACGGGUAGCCGGCCUGAGAGGGUGACCGGCCACACUGGGACUGAGACACGGCCCAGACUCCUACGGGAGGCAGCAGUGGGGAAUAUUGCACAAUGGGCGCAAGCCUGAUGCAGCGACGCCGCGUGAGGGAUGACGGCCUUCGGGUUGUAAACCUCUUUCAGUAGGGAAGAAGCGAAAGUAACGGUACCUGCAGAAGAAGCACCGGCUAACUACGUG
rnacentral:rRNA from 1 species